UUGCCAAGUCCUGUAGUGAAUAGUCAUUUUGAAUUGCAAAUUCAAAGAAGCAGCUUCAAUCCUGCCGGGACUU
rnacentral:tRNA from 1 species